AACUACUGAGCCCACGUGCCACAACUACUGAAGCCCGUGCACCUCGAAGUAUAAAAUAAAUAUUCAUGAGUGCAUACUGAUAUAAAUGAUUGAAUAAAUGGAGCACAGACAAACCUCCCAAACAAAAGAAUUCUGAAUAAUUUAUGUAGCUACUCUACCCUCAAGGGUGUGGGGCAUAACUCCCCAUCCCUUAAGUGGGCUGUGCACAUGGACUUCCUUCUAAAGGGAACAGCAGGGGAAGGGGAAGAAAGAGGAACCUUAUGGUGGGGAAACCUGGCAAGCCUCAGCCAGGUGGCCAGGGUUAACAGCAUUAGUGAUGAGCCAUGUUGAUAGCAUGUACCAUUGAUAGGAUGUGAUCAGAGGGCACGUGACCUCUGUGGUGUUCCUCCCCCCAGACUCAGUCUAAUCAGAAAAAAUUGACACAAAUUCCAGUUGGUGGACAUUCUGCAAAAUACUUAACGAGUCCUCAAAACUGUCAAGGUCAUUCAAAGCAAGGAAAGUCUAAGGAUGUCACAGCCAAGAGCAGCCUAAGGAGACAUAAUGACUAUAUGUAAUGAGGUAUCUUGGAUGGGAUCCUGGGGCAGAGAAAGGACAUCAGGUAAAAACUAAGGAUUCUGAACAAAGUAUGGACUUUAGUUAAUAUAUCAAUAUUGGCCAGUAGUUAGGAUGAAUGUAUCAUAUUUAUAUGAGAUGCUAACAAGAGGGGGAACUGACUCAGGGGUAUAUGGGAACUCAGUGCAAGUUUGUUUUUUAAAAUGCAUUAUUGUCAUUGUUGUUAUUUUUCCACAUCUGUGUUUCUGCAGGGGGCAGAGAAAGCUUCCCAUUAAGUUGGGCUGGUGAUGAGCACUCUGCCCGCCUGCCUGGCUUUCUUCUUGGAUGUGCCCGAGAAGUAGGAGGGAGGAAUAUCAGCCGCCUGGCCCCGUCCUCUGAACCUCCUGCACCAGCUGGUAGAAAGCAGAGGCAAAGAGGUUGUUGCGAGGAAGUGAAAGAGGAUGUCCAGGAACCAGUCAGGCAUGCCGGGCUGGAGUGGAGAAGGCUGGCUGUGGUCAGCUCCCGGGAAGACUGCCUCACCGGCGCCUUGCUUGUGACUCACGCAGCAUCACACUCUGCACGGGGGUGGCAUGCAUUUGGUGCAGGGGGCGUUGCUCUAUGCCAGGGACCUGACAGACAGUGGGCAGCGGGUUAGAAGGGUGAGGUGAGCCUGCCCCUGCUGUUCACUGUCACCAUCCUUGUCCUGGUGGAAGAUGGGAGCAGGCAUUCAGGGCCUCGGUCAUCCACCGCUGGAGCUAACUCGUGCAUGUUCAGCUACUGCUCCCCACCCCCGAGGCUGCCCAUUUCAGAGACCUGGGGUGCUGGAAGCACAUGGGCUUUGGAGGCAGCAGAUGUGGGUUCAGGUUCAGACUCCACUACCUGAUAGCUAGGAAACCUUGGGUGAGUCACUUAAGCUCUCUGACCUGUUUCUCCAGUUGUAAAAUGCAGACACACACCUGCCUCACCCACCUCAUGAGGUUGAGUCAAGGAUCAAAUGAGGAGAGACAGUGACCAGGAGGCGCUCUCUCAGGGGUUGUUUGGAUGGAGGUGACAAGAACGAUCAGCAUCCUUCAGGCAGAAGAGAAAGUUUGCUGCCCCCUGGUGCAAAUCGUGGAAGAACAAAAUAUUAGCAAAAUACUUCCCCAAAAUGAAUACCUGCGUCCCCAAAUGAAAGCAACACUGAACAGCCCUCCAUCAUAGACCUCCGUAUCCUUGUAUUAACAUCAAGCCCUAUUAUCAGCGUUAGGAGAGCAGACUUUCAUUGUACCGAACUUAUCCCAGACGGUGAACGAGACAUCCUAUGUCUUUGUUAAGAUUUGGUCUCUGCAGUGCCUGUAUCUUAGUAGCCCUGGCCACAGAGGGUCUAGGAAGCCUGCAGGCCUAAGAACAGUCAUUUCCCACCCCAGCCAUUACCCUUUCCUCUGACUCGGGAUGCUGAAGCUACUGGCUAUUUCCUGCACGUAGCCCAGUGACCCUCUUCCGUAAGGAGGUGGGAUCAAUGUAAACAUGGUGGGAAGAA